ensembl:lncRNA
AUGGAUGGAUGGAUGGAUGGAUGGAUGGAUGGAUGGAUGGAUGGAUGGAUGGAUGGAUGGAUGGAUGGAUGGAUGGAUGGAUGGAUGGAUGGAUGGAUGGAUGGAUGGAUGGAUGGAUGGAUGGAUGGAUGGAUGGAUGGAUGGAUGGAUGGAUGGAUGGAUGGAUGGAUGGAUGGAUGGAUGGAUGGAUGGAUGGAUGGAUGGAUGGAUGGAUGGAUGGAUGGAUGGAUGGAUGGAUGGAUGGAUGGAUGGAUGGAUGGAUGGAUGGAUGGAUGGAUGGAUGGAUGGAUGGAUGGAUGGAUGGAUGGAUGGAUGGAUGGAUGGAUGGAUGGAUGGAUGGAUGGAUGGAUGGAUGGAUGGAUGGAUGGAUGGAUGGAUGGAUGGAUGGAUGGAUGGAUGGAUGGAUGGAUGGAUGGAUGGAUGGAUGGAUGGAUGGAUGGAUGGAUGGAUGGAUGGAUGGAUGGAUGGAUGGAUGGAUGGAUGGAUGGAUGGAUGGAUGGAUGGAUGGAUGGAUGGAUGGAUGGAUGGAUGGAUGGAUGGAUGGAUGGAUGGAUGGAUGGAUGGAUGGAUGGAUGGAUGGAUGGAUGGAUGGAUGGAUGGAUGGAUGGAUGGAUGGAUGGAUGGAUGGAUGGAUGGAUGGAUGGAUGGAUGGAUGGAUGGAUGGAUGGAUGGAUGGAUGGAUGGAUGGAUGGAUGGAUGGAUGGAUGGAUGGAUGGAUGGAUGGAUGGAUGGAUGGAUGGAUGGAUGGAUGGAUGGAUGGAUGGAUGGAUGGAUGGAUGGAUGGAUGGAUGGAUGGAUGGAUGGAUGGAUGGAUGGAUGGAUGGAUGGAUGGAUGGAUGGAUGGAUGGAUGGAUGGAUGGAUGGAUGGAUGGAUGGAUGGAUGGAUGGAUGGAUGGAUGGAUGGAUGGAUGGAUGGAUGGAUGGAUGGAUGGAUGGAUGGAUGGAUGGAUGGAUGGAUGGAUGGAUGGAUGGAUGGAUGGAUGGAUGGAUGGAUGGAUGGAUGGAUGGAUGGAUGGAUGGAUGGAUGGAUGGAUGGAUGGAUGGAUGGAUGGAUGGAUGGAUGGAUGGAUGGAUGGAUGGAUGGAUGGAUGGAUGGAUGGAUGGAUGGAUGGAUGGAUGGAUGGAUGGAUGGAUGGAUGGAUGGAUGGAUGGAUGGAUGGAUGGAUGGAUGGAUGGAUGGAUGGAUGGAUGGAUGGAUGGAUGGAUGGAUGGAUGGAUGGAUGGAUGGAUGGAUGGAUGGAUGGAUGGAUGGAUGGAUGGAUGGAUGGAUGGAUGGAUGGAUGGAUGGAUGGAUGGAUGGAUGGAUGGAUGGAUGGAUGGAUGGAUGGAUGGAUGGAUGGAUGGAUGGAUGGAUGGAUGGAUGGAUGGAUGGAUGGAUGGAUGGAUGGAUGGAUGGAUGGAUGGAUGGAUGGAUGGAUGGAUGGAUGGACAGACAGAAAGUGUAUAGACAGACAGAGAGAAAGAUUGAUAGAUGACAAACAGAUAGUAGGUAGACAGGUAGACAGACAGGCAGGUACUGUAGAGAGAGAUAUGAAGACAGACUAA